UACGAAGGGGGCUAGCGUUGCUCGGAAUCACUGGGCGUAAAGGGUGCGUAGGCGGGUUUUUAAGUCAGAGGUGAAAUCCUGGAGCUCAACUCCGGAAUUGCCUUUAAGACUGCAUCGCUAGAAUUGUGGAGAGGUAAGUGGAAUUCCGAGUGUAGAGGUGAAAUUCGUAGAUAUUCGGAAGGACACCAGUGGCGAAGGCGACUUACUGGACACAUAUUGACGCUGAGGUGCGAAAGCGUGGGGAGCAAACAGG
rnacentral:rRNA from 1 species